CAGCCGCCGCGGUAAUACCGGCGGCCCGAGUGGCGGUCACUAUUAUUGGGCUUAAAGCGUCCGUAGCCGGGUUGGGAAGUCCUCCGGGAAAUCUGGCCGCUUAACGGUCAGAAUGCCGGAGGAUACUCCCAGACUAGGGAGCGGGAGAGGCCGAGGGGAUUCCCGGAGUAGGGGGGAAAUCCUAUAAUCCCGGGAGGACCACCUGUGGCGAAGGCGCUCGGCUGGAACGCGUCCGACGGUGAGGGACGAAGGCCAGGGGAGCAAACCGGAUUAGAUACCCGGGUAGUCCUGGCUGUAAACGAUGCGGACUUUGUGUCGGACAAGCUAUGAGCUUGUCCGGUGCCGGAGGGAAACCGUUAAGUCCGCCGCCUGGGGAGUACGGCCGCAAGGCUGAAACUUAAAGGAAUUGGCGGG
rnacentral:rRNA from 1 species